AGUGAACGCUGGCGGUAGGCCUAACACAUGCAAGUCGAACGGCAGCACAGUAAGAGCUUGCUCUUACGGGUGGCGAGUGGCGGACGGGUGAGGAAUACAUCGGAAUCUACUUUUUCGUGGGGGAUAACGUAGGGAAACUUACGCUAAUACCGCAUACGACCUACGGGUGAAAGCAGGGGAUCUUCGGACCUUGCGCGAUUGAAUGAGCCGAUGUCGGAUUAGCUAGUUGGCGGGGUAAAGGCCCACCAAGGCGACGAUCCGUAGCUGGUCUGAGAGGAUGAUCAGCCACACUGGAACUGAGACACGGUCCAGACUCCUACGGGAGGCAGCAGUGGGGAAUAUUGGACAAUGGGCGCAAACCUGAUCCAGCCAUACCGCGUGGGUGAAGAAGGCCUUCGGGUUGUAAAGCCCUUUUGUUGGGAAAGAAAAGCAGCAGGUUAAUACCCCGCUGUUCUGACGGUACCCAAAGAAUGAGCACCGGCUAACUUCGUG
rnacentral:rRNA from 1 species